rnacentral:rRNA from 1 species
AUCCUUAGUUGCCAGUCAUUGAGUUGGGAACUCUAAGGGAAACUUGGCCUCGGUUAACGGGGAGGAAGGCGGGGAUGACGUCAAGUCCUCAUGGCCUUUAUGUCCAGGGCUACACACGUGCUACAAUGGGCGGAACAAAGGGUUGCAAUACCGCAAGGUGGAGCUAAUCUCAAAAAACCGCUCUCAGUUCAGAUUGGAGUCUGCAACUCGACUCCAUGAAGGCGGAAUCGCUAGUAAUCGCGGAUCAGCAUGCCGCGGUGAAUACCGGUUCCCGGGCCUU